CUCAACUGACGCUAAUGCUUCGAAAGUGCGGGUAUCGAACAGGAUUAAGAUACCCUGGUAGUCCCGCACGGUAAAACGAUGGAUGCCCGCUGUUUGGCGAUAUACUGUCAGCGGCCAAGCGAAAGCGUUAAGCAUCCCCACCUGGGGAGUACGCCGGCAACGGUGAAACUCAAAGGAAUUGACGAGGGCCCGCACAAGCGGAGGAACAUGUGGUUUAAUUCGAUGAUACGCGAGGAACCUUACCCGGGCUUGAACUGCAGCAGAACGAUAGAGAGAUCUUGAGGCCCUUCGGGGCUGCUGUGGAGGUGCUGCAUGGUUGUCGUCAGCUCGUGCCGUGAGGUGUCGGCUUAAGUGCCAUAACGAGCGCAACCCCUUCCGUCAGUUGCCAUCACUUUGGGUGGGCACUCUGGCGGUACUGCCACCGUAAGGUGUGAGGAAGGUGGGGAUGACGUCAAAUCAGCACGGCCCGACGUCCGGGUGUACACACGUGUUACAAUGGGUGGUACAGAGAGUCAACCGCGGGCAACGUCGGUUUAAUCAAUAAAGCCAUCCUCAGUUCGGAUUGGGGUCUGCAACCCGACCCCAUGAAGCUGGAUCGCU
rnacentral:rRNA from 1 species